GGCCUGGUAGUCCAGUGGUUAGCACGUCGGCUUCACAGUGCAGAGGUACCAGGUUCAAUUCCAGGUCCGGCCUCCCUUUGUGGAGUUUGCAUGUUCUCCCUGGGCCUGCGUGGAUUUUCUCCGGGUGUGAGUGUGAGUGCGAAUGGUUGUUCGUUUCUGGGUGCCCUGCGAUUGGCUGGCAACCGAUUCAGGGUGUCCCCCGCCUACUGCCCGAAGACAGCUGGGAUAGGCUCCAGCACCCCCCGUGACCCUAGUGAGGAUCAAGCGGCUC